rnacentral:rRNA from 1 species
CCUUCGGGACAGAGGUGACAGGUGGUGCAUGGUUGUCGUCAGCUCGUGUCGUGAGAUGUUGGGUUAAGUCCCGCAACGAGCGCAACCCCUAUUGUUAGUUGCCAUCAUUCAGUUGGGCACUCUAGCGAGACUGCCGGUAAUAAACCGGAGGAAGGUGGGGAUGACGUCAAAUCAUCAUGCCCCUUAUGACCUGGGCUACACACGUGCUACAAUGGUUGGUACAACGAGUCGCAAGCCGGUGACGGCAAGCUAAUCUCUUAAAGCCAAUCUCAGUUCGGAUUGUAGGCUGCAACUCGCCUACAUGAAGUCGGAAUCGCUAGUAAUCGCGGAUCAGCACGCCGCGGUGAAUACGUUCCCGGGCCUUGUACACACCGCC